ensembl:lncRNA
CCUGCUUGGGAGGAGAUGAGUUGUUUGUGGGGGAACCUGCUAGGAGGGCUUCUAGAAGAGCGAGGCUCUUGCUUUGGCUUUGCUGUCCAAUCCUGAGGUGCCUGAAGAUGGCUGAGAUACUCCCAGAAAGUGAAUGCCCCAGCCCUGCCCUGGGCGAGGCUCUGCCCCUGCCGAGGACAUCUGAGGGACUGCAGGAGGAAUCAUCCCAAGAGGUCCCGCUGGCCCAUGGCUCAGCUUUCUGUGUAAAGUAUGCCCCGAUGAUGAAGAAGAAGAAAACCAGCUCAGCCCAGAUUAUUCCAUUAAACACAGCCUCUGGUCACUGGAGAGAAGCGGAAGCACAAAGUCGGG